rnacentral:misc_RNA from 1 species
AAGUCGUAACAAGGUUUCCGUAGGUGAACCUGCGGAAGGAUCAUUAACAAAUCCACAUUCUUUGAACCAUUUGUGAACCGACCUGAGAAGGUGGGUGGAUGGGCGGCGCAUAGCUGCGCGCCUGUCUGUCUGUCUUUUCUGGGUAUGCUGUGCUGCUAGUUAUAUAGCUGUAAGGAGUAGGGCUGUGGCUUUGCUUUGCGCGGUAUAACAACAACACAACACAUAUAAACUAUUAAACUUGUCUAACUUGAGAAACAAUAAUUUUAAACAACUUUUAACAGUGGAUCUCUUGGCUCUU